UGAGGAAUAUUGCACAAUGGGCGGAAGCCUGAUGCAGCAACGCCGCGUGGAGGACGACGGCCUUCGGGUUGUAAACUCCUUUUCUGGGGGACGAGCAAGGACGGUACCCCAGGAAUAAGUCUCGGCUAACUACGUGCCAGCAGCCGCGGUAAAACGUAGGAGGCGAGCGUUAUCCGGAUUUACUGGGCGUAAAGCGCACGCAGGUGGCUUAGCAAGUCGGACAUGAAAGCUCCUGGCUUAACUGGGAGAGGUGGUUCGAAACUGCUGAGCUUGAGGUUGGGAGAGGGACGUGGAAUUCCCGGUGUAGUGGUGGAAUGCGUAGAUAUCGGGAGGAACACCAGUGGCGCAAGCGGCGUCCUGGCCCACACCUGACGCUGAGGUGCGAAAGCGUGGGGAGCAAACA
rnacentral:rRNA from 1 species